rnacentral:antisense_RNA from 1 species
UUUGAUCGAGCCCACCCACAAGGGUUGGCCCGCAGGGCGAUCCUGACCGUAGGUCGCCAACAGCGCACGAGCCUC